GAUGUCGGCUCAUCACAUCCUGGGGCUGAAGUAUGACCCAAGGGUAUGUCUGUUCGCCAUAAAAAGUGGUACGCGAGCUGGGAUCAGAACGUCGUGAGACAGUUCGGUCCCUAUCUGCCGUGGGCGUUAGAGAUAUGAGAAGAGUUGCUCCUAGAACGAGAGGACCGGAGAGAACGAACCACUGCCGUUACGGUUGUUUCGCCAGAAGCAUUGCCGGGUAGCUACGUUU
rnacentral:rRNA from 1 species